GACGAACGCUGGCGGCGUGCUUAACACAUGCAAGUCGAGCGAAGUAUUCAAGAUAGAUUUCUUCGGAUUGAAGUCUUGAAUAUCUUAGCGGCGAACGGGUGAGUAACGCGUGAGAAACCUGCCUUUCACAAAGGGAUAGCCUCGGGAAACUGGGAUUAAUACCUUAUGAUACUUACAUUUCACAUGAGAAGUAAGUUAAAAGCGCAAAAGCGGUGAAAGAUGGUCUCGCGUCCCAUUAGUUAGUUGGUGAGGUAACGGCUCACCAAGACCGCGAUGGGUAGCCGGCCUGAGAGGGUGAACGGCCACACUGGAACUGAGACACGGUCCAGACUCCUACGGGAGGCAGCAGUGGGGAAUAUUGCACAAUGGAGGAAACUCUGAUGCAGCGACGCCGCGUGAGUGAAGAAGGCCUUCGGGUCGUAAAACUUUGUCCUAGGGACGAUAAUAGACGGUACCUAGGAGGAAGCCCGGCCGUAACUACGUGCCAGCAGCCGCGGUAAAAGUGUGUGUACUA
rnacentral:rRNA from 1 species